CCGCCGCGGUAAUACCAGCUCUCCGAGUGGUGGGAUGUUUAUUGGGCCUAAAGCAUCCGUAGCUGGCUAGGUUAGUCCCCUGUUAAAUCCACCGAAUUAAUCGUUGGAUUGCGGGGGAUACUGCUUGGCUAGGGGACGAGAGAGGCAGACGGUAUUUCCGGGGUAGGGGUGAAAUCCUAUAAUCCCGGGAAGACCACCAGUGGCGAAGGCUGUCUGCUAGAACGCGCCCGACGGUGAGGGAUGAAAGCUGGGGGAGCGAACCGGAUUAGAUACCCGGGUAGUCCCAGCUGUAAACGAUGCAGACUAGGUGUUUGGACGGCCACGUGCCGUUCUAGUGCCGCAGGGAAGCUGUUAAGUCUGCCGCCUGGGGAGUACGAUCGCAAGAUUGAAACUUAAAGGAAUUGGCGGGGGAAGCACA
rnacentral:rRNA from 1 species